GUGGUGGUGGGGAAUGGUAGUAAGGUUUAGGGCUUAACAUGCACUGGUGGUGGAGGAGAAGAAUAUUUGUAUGGUUUCUUUGGGGGUGGUGGAGAAUGGUAGUAAGGUUUAGGGUGGACAUAUGGUGGAGGAGGAGAAGAAUACUUGUAAGGUUUCUUUGGUGGUGGUGGUGGUGAACUGUAAUGGUAGGGAGGAGGAGGUGUAUAAACGGUGGGGGUGGAGAGUGGUAGUAGUAUGGUUUCUUAGGUGGUGAGUACACUGGUGGUGGUGGUGAAGAGUAAUGGUAAGGUGGUUUAACUGGAGGGUACACCCCCGGUGGUGGGGAAUGUGGAGGGUACACCUUAGGUGGUGGUGGAGAACUAUAAUGGUAAGGUGGUGAGACUGGUGGAUACACCUCAGGUGGUGGUGAAUGUGGAGGGUAUUUCUUAGGUGGUGGUGGGGAAGAGUAAUGGUAAGGUGGUUUAACUGGUGGGUACACCUUGGGUGGUGGUGAAUGUGGAGGGUACACCUUAGGAGGUGGUGGUGAAGAGUAAUGGUAAGGUGGUGAAACUGGAGGAUACACCUUAGGUGGUGGUGAAUGAGGAGGAUACUUCUUAGGUGGUGGUGGUGAAGAGUAAUGGUAAGGUGGUGAAACUGGAGGGUACACCUUAGGUGGUGGUGAAUGUGGAGGGUACACCUUAGGUGGUGGUGGUGAAGGGUAGUGGUAAGGUGGGGAAACUGGAGGGUAGACCUUAGAAGGUGGAGGAGGUGAAGAAUACAAGUAGCUGUUUGCUGAAAUUUGAGAU
rnacentral:lncRNA from 1 species